GUAGGGAAUAUUGCAAAUGGGCGAAAGCCUGAUGUAGCAACGCCGCGUGUGCGAUGAAGGUCUUCGGAUUGUAAAGCACUUUUUGGAGGGAUGAGGAAGGACAGUACCUCCAGAAUAAGCCUCGGCUAACUACGUGCCAGCAGCCGCGGUAACACGUAGGAGGCAAGCGUUAUUCGGAUUUACUGGGCGUAAAGCGCGUGCAGGCGGUUUGGAAAGUUGGAUGUGAAAGCUCCUGGCUCAACUGGGAGAGGUCAUUCAAUACUUCCAGACUUGAGAGUGGUAGAGGGAGGUGGAAUUCCGGGUGUAGUGGUGAAAUGCGUAGAUAUCCGGAGGAACACCAGUGGCGAAAGCGGCCUCCUGGACCACUUCUGACGCUCAGACGCGAAAGCUAGGGUAGCAAACGGGAUUAGAAACCCUUGUAGUCC
rnacentral:rRNA from 1 species